rnacentral:rRNA from 1 species
GAUGAACGCUAGCGGCAGGCUUAACACAUGCAAGUCGAGGGGUAUAGUUCUUCGGAACUAGAGACCGGCGCACGGGUGCGUAACGCGUAUGCAAUCUACCUUUUACAGAGGGAUAGCCCAGAGAAAUUUGGAUUAAUACCUCAUAGCAUUGCAGGAUGGCAUCAUUCAGCAAUUAAAGUCACAACGGUAAAAGAUGAGCAUGCGUCCCAUUAGCUAGUUGGUAAGGUAACGGCUUACCAAGGCUACGAUGGGUAGAGGUCCUGAGAGGGAGAUCCCCCACACUGGUACUGAGACACGGACCAGACUCCUACGGGAGGCAGCAGUGGGGAAUUUUGGACAAUGGGCGCAAGCCUGAUCCAGCCAUUCCGCGUGCAGGAUGAAGGCCCUCGGGUUGUAAACUGCUUUUGUACGGAACGAAACGCGCCGGGUUAAUACCCUGGCGUAAUGACGGUACCGUAAGAAUAAGCACCGGCUAACUACGUGCCAGCAGCCGCGGUAACAC